UACGAGGGGGCAAGCGUUGUUCGGAAUUAUUGGGCGUAAAGGGCGCGUAGGCGGUGCGGUAAGUCACCUGUGAAACCUCUAGGCUUAACCUAGAGCCUGCAGGCGAAACUGCCGUGCUUGAGGGUGGGAGAGGUGCGUGGAAUUCCCGGUGUAGCGGUGAAAUGCGUAGAUAUUGGGAAGAACACCGGUGGCGAAGGCGGCUCUCUGGACCGAUACUGACGCUGAGGCGCGAAAGCGUGGGGAGCAAACAGG
rnacentral:rRNA from 1 species